GUCAUUCUCAGUUCUCCCUUUGAUAUUCAAUUUGUCCAUCUCAUUCAAGAGUUCAGCCCCUACACCCCCACCAAUUUUAUUAUUAACAUUUUCACUACUCGAAAAGCUGCCAAACACAUUAUACUUGGAUUUUACACUGUCCAUAUUAUGUGAAGAGUCAACAAUUCCCUCACUUUUGAUAUUUAACUUGUUCUCCACCUCCUUGCUUACCAUUUCAUCAAGUUUUGCAUCGC
rnacentral:misc_RNA from 1 species